AUACCAUCCAGAGAAACGGAGGGACUGGCCCGAAGAUGUUUCAGCAACCUACUUUGAGAGUGUGGUGCUAAUUCCAGACAGAUGGAGA
rnacentral:ncRNA from 2 species